rnacentral:tRNA from 1 species
GCCGAGGUGGCAGAAUGGUUAAUGCGACGGACUGCAGAUCCGUUUCCUGGGGGUUCGAUUCCCUCCCUCGGCU